rnacentral:rRNA from 1 species
UCUUAGCGGCGGACGGGUGAGUAACACGUGGGCAACCUGCCCUGCAGACUGGGAUAACUCCGGGAAACCGGAGCUAAUACCGGGUAAUACAUCGCACCGCAUGGUGCAAUGUUGAAAGUUGGCUUUCGAGCUAACACUGCAGGAUGGGCCCGCGGCGCAUUAGCUAGUUGGUAAGGUAAUGGCUUACCAAGGCGACGAUGCGUAGCCGACCUGAGAGGGUGAUCGGCCACACUGGGACUGAGACACGGCCCAGACUCCUACGGGAGGCAGCAGUAGGGAAUCUUCCGCAAUGGACGAAAGUCUGACGGAGCAACGCCGCGUGAGUGACGAAGGCCUUCGGGUCGUAAAGCUCUGUUGUUAGGGAAGAACAAGUACCGUUCGAAUAGGGCGGUACCUUGACGGUACCUAACCAGAAAGCCACGGCUAACUACGUGCCAGCAGCCGCGGUAAUACGUAGGUGGCAAGCGUUGUCCGGAAUUAUUGGGCGUAAAGCGCGCGCAGGCGGUCUUUUAAGUCUGAUGUGAAAGCCCACGGCUCAACCGUGGAGGGUCAUUGGAAACUGGAGGACUUGAGUGCAGAAGAGGAGAGUGGAAUUCCACGUGUAGCGGUGAAAUGCGUAGAUAUGUGGAGGAACACCAGUGGCGAAGGCGGCUCUCUGGUCUGUAACUGACGCUGAGGCGCGAAAGCGUGGGGAGCAAACAGGAUUAGAUACCCCU